GACAUGAACCACUGGCUGAGAAACAUCCUGAUUCUGACUCUCUGGCUAGAGUGUAAAGGAGAAGACAGAGUGACCCAGCCAGCAGGAGAUGUCAUUGCUGCUGAAGGAGACACAGUUACACUUGGCUGUACUUUUGAGACGAGUAGAACAGGUCCAACUUUGUUCUGGUACAAACAGGAUGGAAACAACAGCCCCAAAUUCAUGUUGAGCCGCAUGCAAGGGGUCGAAGUAAAAACAGAGGGCGAGUUUAAGGAGAGAUUUUCAUCCACACUGGAUUCCACCUCAAGAUCAGUUCCUCUGAAGAUCCAGAAGCUUCAGCUGUCUGACUCUGCUGUUGUUACCCGAGUGAGGACAAAGAACUACGGGGAGGCGGCCUUUAGUGUGCAGCCUGCCAGAGGAGCUGAGGGCAUCACAAUCUGUUAA